rnacentral:ncRNA from 1 species
AAUUGUUUAACUAUGGCAACAAGAAGCAUUUGGUGACUUAGUUGCAUAAAAUUUUUCUAUCCUUGGAUUUUGUAGGAUUUUUUAUACUCAUUAGCAAUUAAUCUUUUAGUAGAAUCACCUUUUUUAAGAAGUCACCAAUUAAAGGGGAUAGGACACAGUGCCAGCAUCCGCGGUUAAUCUGUUAUCUUUGUUUUUAUUUAAGGUUUUGGUAGAUGUUUAGUUUCAAGGUUUGGUGAAAUUUUCUUGGCACAAUGUCAUUCAUCUAUUAUUUAAUAAGUUAAUUUUAGCGACAGGGAUUAGAUACCCCAGUAGCUGUUUAUCUAAAUUGCUUUGGUUAUUAUAACCAAAAUGGUUUGGCAGCGAGUUAAUCCCUCCGGGGGAAGGUGUGACAUAAAGGACGAUCCGCCAAAUAAUGUACCUGUGCUAUGUUGGUGUAUAUCUGGUUUGAUACUAUUGCUAAAUAGCUGAAUUUAUGUAACUUACUAUUUAAGCCAAGUCUAUGUGCUGCACGCACAGGAGUACAUGCGUUACAUUAAUAAUUAGCUGCUUUGUAAGUGCGCUAUUUUAGGACUCGGAAGUAAUAUAAAAUGAGGUUGUUUUUGUGAAGCGGGUUUAACUUGGGUACACACCGCCCGUCACCCUCGACAUCUGUUGAGGUAAGUCGUAACAUGGUAGCCUCAAAUGAAUUUGAGGCUAAUUGUAAUUUACU